rnacentral:rRNA from 1 species
CCUACGGGAGGCUGCAGUAGGGAAUAUUGCUCAAUGGGGGAAACCCUGAAGCAGCAACGCCGCGUGGAGGAUGAAGGUUUUCGGAUUGUAAACUCCUUUUGUUAGAGAAGAUAAUGACGGUAUCUAACGAAUAAGCACCGGCUAACUCCGUGCCAGCAGCCGCGGUAAUACGGAGGGUGCAAGCGUUACUCGGAAUCACUGGGCGUAAAGAGUGCGUAGGCGGGAUAGAAAGUCAGAUGUGAAAUCCUAUGGCUUAACCUUAGAACUGCAUUUGAAACUGUUAUGCUAGAGUAUGGGAGAGGUAGGUGGAAUUCUUGGUGUAGCGGUAAAAUCCGUAGAGAUCAAGAGGAACACUCGUUGUGAAGGCGACCUACUGGAACGUAACUGACGCUGAUGCGCGAAAGCGUGGGGAGCAAACAGGAUUAGAUACCCCAGUAGUC